rnacentral:rRNA from 1 species
UUGUUGGGUAGGGGAGCGUUCUGUAAGCCUGUGAAGGUGGCCUGUGAGGGUUGCUGGAGGUAUCAGAAGUGCGAAUGCUGACAUAAGUAACGAUAAAGCGGGUGAAAAGCCCGCUCGCCGGAAGACCAAGGGUUCCUGUCCAACGUUAAUCGGGGCAGGGUGAGUCGACCCCUAAGGCGAGGCCGAAAGGCGUAGUCGAUGGGAAACGGGUUAAUAUUCCCGUACUUGGUGUUACUGCGAAGGGGGGACGGAGAAGGCUAUGUUGGCCGGGCGACGGUUGUCCCGGUUUAAGCGUGUAGGUGUGUGUUCCAGGUAAAUCCGGUUCACUUUAACACUGAGGCGUGAUGACGAGGCACUACGGUGCUGAAGCAACAAAUGCCCUGCUUCCAGGAAAAGCCUCUAAGCAUCAGGUAACAUCAAAUCGUACCCCAAACCGACACAGGUGGUCAGGUAGAGAAUACCAAGGCGCUUGAGAGAACUCGGGUGAAGGAACUAGGCAAAAUGGUGCCGUAACUUCGGGAGAAGGCACGCUGACAUGUAGGUGAAGUGAUUUACUCAUGGAGCUGAAGUCAGUCGAAGAUACCAGCUGGCUGCAACUGUUUAUUAAAAACACAGCACUGUGCAAACACGAAAGUGGACGUAUACGGUGUGACGCCUGCCCGGUGCCGGAAGGUUAAUUGAUGGGGUCAGCGCAAGCGAAGCUCCUGAUCGAAGCCCCGGUAAACGGCGGCCGUAACUAUAACGGUCCUAAGGUAGCGAAAUUCCUUGUCGGGUAAGUUCCGACCUGCACGAAUGGCGUAAUGAUGGCCAGGCUGUCUCCACCCGAGACUCAGUGAAAUUGAACUCGCUGUGAAGAUGCAGUGUACCCGCGGCAAGACGGAAAGACCCCGUGAACCUUUACUAUAGCUUGACACUGAACAUUGAGCCUUGAUGUGUAGGAUAGGUGGGAGGCUUUGAAGCGUGGACGCCAGUCUGCGUGGAGCCGGCCUUGAAAUACCACCCUUUAAUGUUUGAUGUUCUAACGUGGACCCGUGAUCCGGGUUGCGGACAGUGUCUGGUGGGUAGUUUGACUGGGGCGGUCUCCUCCUAAAGAGUAACGGAGGAGCACGAAGGUUGGCUAAUCCUGGUCGGACAUCAGGAGGUUAGUGCAAUGGCAUAAGCCAGCUUGACUGCGAGCGUGACGGCGCGAGCAGGUGCGAAAGCAGGUCAUAGUGAUCCGGUGGUUCUGAAUGGAAGGGCCAUCGCUCAACGGAUAAAAGGUACUCCGGGGAUAACAGGCUGAUACCGCCCAAGAGUUCAUAUCGACGGCGGUGUUUGGCACCUCGAUGUCGGCUCAUCACAUCCUGGGGCUGAAGUAGGUCCCAAGGGUAUGGCUGUUCGCCAUUUAAAGUGGUACGCGAGCUGGGUUUAGAACGUCGUGAGACAGUUCGGUCCCUAUCUGCCGUGGGCGCUGGAGAACUGAGGGGGGCUGCUCCUAGUACGAGAGGACCGGAGUGGACGCAUCACUGGUGUUCGGGUUGUCAUGCCAAUGGCACUGCCCGGUAGCUAAAUGCGGAAGAGAUAAGUGCUGAAAGCAUCUAAGCACGAAACUUGCCCCGAGAUGAGUUCU